GCUCGCAGGUCCUUGUCGUUCUUGGAGCCGCCGCUACCAUUGAACUGUAUAACCGCAAGAGAAUAGAGUGAUGGCGCGUGCGAGCUAAUCGCCGCCUUGGCCAUUAGAGAAGCUCCGCUCCCUCGGUUUUGUAAACAGUAAAACCGAAUCAUGCCAAGAGUGUACCAAGCUUCAACAUUUCCGGCAUCGGCACAAUGUUUCAAAAAUCGGUGAGCAGAAUCGGACCAGUUCUUGGCCUUCAUAGCGAACGUUUUUUGAGAAGCUUUAGAUAGUACCAGAGAAUGAAGGCCUAACUCAUUCAGUCUCUUGCAUGUUAACAAAACGUUAAUGAAAUCGGAAGGACAAGAGGCGGAGGAACUAAGCUUGCAGAGAAUAGACAUGACAAGAUCAUCGGGUAAAAAAUCAAACAAGUCAGUCUCUCCGGCACUCUCCGGCGAUAACCUCGGCUUUUUCCGGGAAAGCAUUUGUUCUCCGGGGACAGUUGCGGUGGCGGUGGUGAAAUUUCCUCCGUUUCUUCUCUUUACUAACCUCUUAUCUACGCAAUCUUCUGCCGUAGGAUAACAAAACCCUCUCUUUCUUCUCAUUUCUGUGUGUACCUCUCUCCCUGUCGAAUAUUGUUUCGAUUUGUCUCUCUAUCUUAGAGAUAAAGAGAGAAAAAGCGAAGUGAAACCUUAUAUAAAAGAGGGAGCAA
rnacentral:misc_RNA from 1 species